rnacentral:rRNA from 1 species
GAAGGCCCAGACAGCCAGGAGGUUGGCUUAGAAGCAGCCACCCUUUAAAGAAAGCGUAAUAGCUCACUGGUCGAGUCGGCCUGCGCGGAAGAUGUACCGGGGCUAAGUUGUGUACCGAAGCUGCGGAUGCAAGCUUGCUUGCAUGGUAGGGGAGCGUUCUGUAGGCCUGCGAAGGUGUGCCGUGAGGCAUGCUGGAGGUAUCAGAAGUGCGAAUGCUGACGUGAGUAACGAUAAAGGGGGUGAAAGACCCCCUCGCCGGAAGUCCAAGGUUUCCUGCGCCAUGCUAAUCAGCGCAGGGUUAGUCGACCCCUAAGGCGAGGCCGAAAGGCGUAGUCGAUGGGAAGCAGGUUAAUAUUCCUGCACCGCGUUUAAUUGCGAUGGGGGGACGGAGAAGGCUAGACCAGCCGGGCGUUGGUUGUCCCGGUUUAAGCGAGUAGGGAGCAUCCUUAGGUAAAUCCGGGGGUGCAAUUCUGAGACGUGAUGACGAAGUUUCAUUUGAAACUGAAGUGGUUGAUGCCAUGCUUCCAGGAAAAUCCUCUAAGCUUCAGAUUAAACGUGUCCGUACCCCAAACCGACACAGGUGGACAGGGCGAGAAGCCCAAGGCGCUUGAGACAACUCGGGUGAAGGAACUCGGCAAAAUGACACCGUAACUUCGGGAGAAGGUGUACCCUCAUUACGUGAAGGCCCUCGCGGCCGGAGCGGAAGGGGGUUGCAACAAAGAGGUGGCUGCGACUGUUUAUUAAAAACACAGCACUCUGCAAACUCGUAAGAGGACGUAUAGGGUGUGACGCCUGCCCGGUGCCGGAAGGUUAAUUGAUGGGGUUAGUCUUCGGACGAAGCUCUUGAUCGAAGCCCCGGUGAACGGCGGCCGUAACUAUAACGGUCCUAAGGUAGCGAAAUUCCUUGUCGGGUAAGUUCCGACCUGCACGAAUGGCGUAACGAUGGCCACACUGUCUCCACCCGGGACUCAGUGAAAUCGAAAUUGCUGUGAAGAUGCAGUGUACCCGCACCAAGACGGAAAGACCCCGUGCACCUUUACUACAGCUUCACGCUGGACUUUGAACAUGUUUGUGUAGGAUAGGUGGGAGGCUUUGAAGCUGGGACGCUAGUUCUGGUGGAGCCAACCUUGAAAUACCACCCUGGCAUGUUUGGGGCCCUAACCGAGAUCCGUUAUCCGGGUCCGGGACCGCGUGUGGUGGGUAGUUUGACUGGGGCGGUCUCCUCCCAAAGAGUAACGGAGGAGCGCGAAGGUACUCUAAGCGCGGUCGGAAAUCGCGCGGUUAGUGCAAAGGCAUAAGAGUGCUUGACUGCGAGACUGACAAGUCGAGCAGGUGGGAAACCAGGUCUUAGUGAUCCGGUGGUUCUGUAUGGAAGGGCCAUCGCUCAACGGAUAAAAGGUACGCCGGGGAUAACAGGCUGAUACCCCCCAAGAGUUCACAUCGACGGGGGUGUUUGGCACCUCG